ensembl:lncRNA
UUUUUGUGUUUGAUUGGCACCUGUUUAAUUGGAGGGCAAAUUCGCUUCUAACAUGAUGGGAAUGUGGAGCCCAGCUGGAGAGCGAGCGAGUGAGAGAGAGACCGACCCCAGGGGAGCACAAUUAAAAGGGUUUUAGUGUUUGUUAAUGAAUUACAACGCCGGCUGAGCAGGCCAAGGUGCGACUCCAGCUGGUGCUUCAGGCUGCAGGUAGGUGACCGUCUCCUUUUUUCUGGCAGUUCCUCCUGGUCAAGUUCAACAGAACGAAAGGAAC